rnacentral:rRNA from 1 species
CCUACGGGUGGCAGCAGUGAGGAAUAUUGGUCAAUGGGCGCGAGCCUGAACCAGCCAAGUCGCUUGAGGGAGGACGGCCCUACGGGUUGUAAACCUCUUUUGCCGGGGAGCAACGGGCGUCACGUGUGGCGCCACUGAGAGUACCCGGAGAAAAAGCAUCGGCUAACUCCGUGCCAGCAGCCGCGGUAAUACGGGGGAUGCGAGCGUUAUCCGGAUUUAUUGGGUUUAAAGGGUGCUUAGGCGGAUCGUUAAGUCAAGGGUAAAAUUGAGGGGCUAAACCCCUUCCCGCCAUUGAAACUGGCGCUCUUGAGUGGAAGAGAAGUAUGCGGAAUGCGUGGUGUAGCGGUGAAAUGCAUAGAUAUCACGCAGAACCCCGAUUGCGAAGGCAGCAUGCCGGCUUCCGACUGACGCUGAAGCACGAAAGCGUGGGGAUCGAACAGGAUUAGAUACCCUUGUAGUC